CCGAGUUUACAACUCCCAAACCCAUGUGAACAUACCUACUGUUGCUUCGGCGGGAUUGCCCCGGGCGCCUCGUGUGCCCCGGAUCAGGCGCCCGCCUAGGAAACUUAACUCUUGUUUUUAUUUUGGAAUCUUCUGAGUAGUUUUUACAAAUAAAUAA
rnacentral:misc_RNA from 1 species